ensembl:snRNA U6 U6 spliceosomal RNA
GUGCUCACUUCAGCAGCACAGAUACUAAAACUGGAAUGAUACAAGGAACAUUAGCAUGGCCUCAGCACAAGAAUGACCUGCAAAUUCAUAAAGCAUUCCAUAUUUUU